UGAGGCGUCGACAAGUGGUAAGUCAUCGGCUUUUGGUGCCGACAUUCCGCAGGUUCGAAUCCUGCCGCCUCAG
rnacentral:tRNA from 1 species